GAUGAACGCUGGCGGCGUGCCUAAUACAUGCCAGUCGAGCGAACGGACGAGAAGCUUGCUUUUCUGAUGUUAGCGGCGGACGGGUGAGUAACACGUGGAUAACCUACCUAUAAGACUGGGAUAACUUCGGGAAACCGGGGCUAAUACCGGAUAAUAUUUUGAACCGCAUGGUUCAAAAGUGAAAGACGGUCUUGCUGUCACUUAUAGAUGGAUCCGCGCUGCAUUAGCUAGUUGGUAAGGUAACGGCUUACCAAGGCAACGAUGCAUAGCCGACCUGAGAGGGUGAUCGGCCACACUGGAACUGAGACACGGUCCAGACUCCUACGGGAGGCAGCAGUAGGGAAUCUUCCGCAAUGGGCGAAAGCCUGACGGAGCAACGCCGCGUGAGUGAUGAAGGUCUUCGGAUCGUAAAACUCUGUUAUUAGGGAAGAACAUAUGUGUAAGUAACUGUGCACAUCUUGACGGUACCUAAUCAGAAAGCCACGGCUAACUACGUG
rnacentral:rRNA from 1 species